rnacentral:rRNA from 1 species
GCAGCCGCCGCGGUAAUACGUAGGUGGCAAGCGUUGUCCGGAAUUAUUGGGCGUAAAGGGCUCGCAGGCGGUUUCUUAAGUCUGAUGUGAAAGCCCCCGGCUCAACCGGGGAGGGUCAUUGGAAACUGGGAAACUUGAGUGCAGAAGAGGAGAGUGGAAUUCCACGUGUAGCGGUGAAAUGCGUAGAGAUGUGGAGGAACACCAGUGGCGAAGGCGACUCUCUGGUCUGUAACUGACGCUGAGGAGCGAAAGCGUGGGGAGCGAACAGGAUUAGAUACCCCUGUAGUCCCUGUCUCUUAUAA